rnacentral:rRNA from 1 species
UAGGGAAUUUUCGUCAAUGGGCGCAAGCCUGAACGAGCAAUGCCGCGUGAGUGAGGAAGGUCUUCGGAUCGUAAAGCUCUGUUGCGGGGGAAAAAGGAAGCAGAAAGGAAAUGGUCUGCUUUUGAUGGUACCCCGCCAGAAAGUCACGGCUAACUCGUGCC